UAGACCAAUGACGAAGGAAAAUGAAAGUGAAAAUGAUAAUUUUCGGUAACAUAGUCAAGUUCAGCCUUCGUGAGGCAAUGCUAUAUGAUGUGAGUGUAUAUAUUGCUAACCAGCAAUCGUAUUUAUUUUAGAUGAAUUGACACGCAAACAACAUCUAACGCGUACUGAAUUGUCCAACUAGGCCUACUUCCUAUAUUUGAAAACUCCAUCUACAGGAAAUACGAAAGCAGAUAAAAUUAACAAUGAAGUGUGUGGUGCUGAUGUUGAUAGUUUUACUACAAGUUGAUGCUUCUUACCAACAAAAUAUCCUUCCCGAACACAAAAGGAGACACUGUAAUGCUCUACAGACCUCGGAUAUCAUGGAGCAUGCGUUACCUGAGAUACGCCGCAUACUUCAGACAGAAGCCGAAAAAAACAGACGUCUCCUUCAGACAGAAGCCGAAAACAACAGACGUCUCCUUCAGACAGAAGCCGAAAACAACAGACUUCUCCUUCAGACAGAAGCCGAAAACAACAGACGUCUGCAUGAAGAGCACGUUUCUACUUUAAGAGGUGUGAUCUUGUUGAGAUGUGAUCCUGGAUGGUUAUACAAUGCUAAUCAUUGUUACCUGUUUUCUCAGUCACGCAAAACAUGGCAAGAGGCAAUAGAAAAAUGCCAGGACAUGAACGCCUACCUAGCAGACAUUCAAAGUGAUGAAGAAAAUCGAUUUGUCAAGAUGGAAUUGAGCAGACGCCAUGAAGAAAACCCAGAACUUGGUGAUUAUUUUCUUGGAGGAUAUCUAAGCACUACGGAACGUAAAUGGAUCUGGAGAAGGACUGGUGAGCAAUUUGGAUAUACUGACUGGGCACCAAACGAACCAAACAAUCACCAGGAUCUUGGUGAAGAAUGUCUGAUGCUGUACGGAAGGACACUCUUUCAAUGGAAUGAUGUUAGAGUUGUGUCCCUUGCGUUGAAAAUCUCCAAUCGCGAAAGUGAGGGGAAAAAGCUGUCGUAACGAUGUAAACAACGUCGCCGUAGCAGUCAUGACAGACACGCAAGCCCGACGCAAAAACGGCCGUUUUAAAUGUAAACGAAACACAUAUACUGACAAUAAUAACAACAACAAUGUCCAAUAUGAACUGCUUGACCACGACUAUGCGACAAGAAAAUGUGACACUCGUUCACACAUUGAAGAGACGCUAUCUACUGGGGCCCCUACUGCCAAUUUGACUGAGGAGCCGACACCGAUGAGGAUCCCUUCAGUACUACUAACAGUGACCAAGAAUACACCAAUAACUGUUUAACCUGGUCGCAGGGUAGACGUGUGGUUGAACUCGCGGUGCUAUCGGAAUAACUGCACCAGAAAGGUUGUAAGGAAUGCGGCACUAGGCUACGGUUGUGUAAUACCCAGCAGGAAAGACAUUAUGGCAUUGGAAGUCUUGAAUACAUACAAGGUCGAACACGAAGUGUUUCCUUGAAGAUGAAGAUGAACAAUACCUACCAGGACAGGAAUGAUAUUCAGACGUCACACGUGACAAGUUAUCACUGAUAAUUUGAUUUCGGGUUUUAGAACAUUAUAUGAUUGACUGUUGAAAUACUUACAUAUAUUAUAUAUUGCAUAUUACAUUUAUAGUAACUAAAGUAUGUUUAUCCCCUCGAGACGAUGUCGUGGAGGAUCUCCACUGAUUUGAAUCAAACUUCAUAUAGUGGUCAUGCAUGACAAUAUCACGAACGCGUUUGUGUUUCCUUGUACAAAGGUAAAGUUUAAGGUCGCAAUUACACAUAAUGAACAAACGUUCCUAAACUUAAUUUAAGCACAAUGACGAUGACAAUUGCUCGCGCAUGUAAUGACACCUCCCCGGUAUUCCAAGAGUUACGCCUGCUUUCGAUCUCUGCACCACUAGAAUAUGUGAUAGCAGAGUUGAAGGCACGCGGCUAGUUUUCUGAUUGGCAUCAGGUGAAAAAAAAUCAGACCAAUCGCAUGCUGAUGCGUGUCCUCUGAAGAUUACAAGGGAGUGACAUCCGACUUCAAAGCCAGUCAAUUAUUCCGAUUAGCGGCCGCGAUAUUCGUUUAGUGUAUAUGACAGGAUCAACUAGGCAUCUUGUCUAAUCCUUAAGGAGGCGCACACUGAGCCUUCGAUUUUGCUAUGACAUAUUCCAUGGGUGCAGAGAGAGUAAAUGAGCGUAGCCCUUAGAGCAUUGAGGAUGGGUAUGCCAAAAAUUAUGAAAAACGAUAAAGAAAGGGAUUGAAAAAAAUUGCUCUGUCUGUAAGUCUGCAGUAUAGAAGACCAGGUUUCGACAUCGUCAAUACCAGUUUACUUCGAAACGGAAAAUAAAUAUAAGGGGACGUUAUGGUAAAUACAAACAUGGCGUUAUGGAGUGUUUUGCCGGCGAUGGGACAGGAAUCCUGCAUAAAUUGUUUGUUGAGAGAAAGUUACAAGCUGAAGUGCUCAACACUCCGUGUCAUCAUACAACUACAUUAAAUAAUGUUUUUGUUCCUCUUAUCAUUGAAGGAUCAAACGAAGGUUUGUACGUAAUUGAUGGAGCUACUUCCUUUACUUCAUCUUUAUAAAUAUUUCAAAAUUUAACAAGUAGUUUAUUCAUUUAUCUCCUCAUUAACCCUAUCGUUUUGCAAGAAUGAAUACAGUUAAUGUGCGGUUGACUUGAAGUUCUUUGUUUAUUUCUAGCGAUGAUUCAUUGAACCUAAGACAUUAAGAUAAUUAAAACAAUCAAUGAAAACUUCCUUUAAACACGCAAUGCAUUUGUUUUUUAACAUCGCGAUCGUUCCUCCCUUCAUUGAUGGUGGCAGUUUUACCGAAAGUUUAUUAAAACCCACAGAACGUGUAAAACUACUCUGAACACCUUAAUUUAGGUCCAGAUAUAGUUGUAACAAACAUACACCAGUUUACGAUUUGGUAACGAUUUUACUGUCCAACGAGUUACGCUCUUUCGAAUAAGUCAUUCUUACAAUUGUCUUGCACUAACUCUGUGAAAAUAGAGCAUUUUAUAAAAUAUCAGUACAUAUAUACAUGUGUGGAUGCACGUGAAAAGGGCAUAAAAUGCGCGAUAGCCUCUGAUUACACGUACCUUGACAGGUAUAUAGACCAUGCGCAAGCAGGCUGUGGAAUGAUGUCCCUUGUCCACAUGAUCGAGAGAAA
rnacentral:misc_RNA from 1 species